rnacentral:rRNA from 1 species
GACGAACGCUGGCGGCGUGCUUAACACAUGCAAGUCGAACGGAAAGGCCCUGCUUUUGUGGGGUGCUCGAGUGGCGAACGGGUGAGUAACACGUGAGUAACCUGCCCUUGACUUUGGGAUAACUUCAGGAAACUGGGACUAAUACCGGAUAGGAGCUCCUGCUGCAUGGUGGGGGUUGGAAAGUUUCGGCGGUUGGGGAUGGACUCGCGGCUUAUCAGCUUGUUGGUGGGGUAGUGGCUUACCAAGGCUUUGACGGGUAGCCGGCCUGAGAGGGUGACCGGCCACAUUGGGACUGAGAUACGGCCCAGACUCCUACGGGAGGCAGCAGUGGGGAAUAUUGCACAAUGGGCGGAAGCCUGAUGCAGCAACGCCGCGUGCGGGAUGACGGCCUUCGGGUUGUAAACCGCUUUCGCCUGUGACGAAGCGUGAGUGACGGUAAUGGGUAAAGAAGCACCGGCUAACUACGUGCCAGCAGCCGCGGUGAUACGUAGGGUGCGAGCGUUGUCCGGAUUUAUUGGGCGUAAAGGGCUCGUAGGUGGUUGAUCGCGUCGGAAGUGUAAUCUUGGGGCUUAACCCUGAGCGUGCUUUCGAUACGGGUUGACUUGAGGAAGGUAGGGGAGAAUGGAAUUCCUGGUGGAGCGGUGGAAUGCGCAGAUAUCAGGAGGAACACCAGUGGCGAAGGCGGUUCUCUGGGCCUUUCCUGACGCUGAGGAGCGAAAGCGUGGGGAGCGAACAGGCUUAGAUACCCUGGUAGUCCACGCUGUAAACGGUGGGUACUAGGUGUGGGGUCCAUUCCACGGGUUCCGUGCCGUAGCUAACGCUUUAAGUACCCCGCCUGGGGAGUACGGCCGCAAGGCUAAAACUCAAAGGAAUUGGCGGGGCCCCGCACAAGCGGCGGAGCAUGCGGAUUAAUUCGAUGCAACGCGUAGAACCUUACCCGGGUUAGACAUGGAUCGGGAGUGCUCAGAGAUGGGUGUGCCUCUUUUGGGGUCGGUUCACAGGUGGUGCAUGGCUGUCGUCAGCUCGUGUCGUGAGAUGUUGGGUUAAGUCCCGCAACGAGCGCAACCCUUGUUCACUGUUGCCAGCACGUUAUGGUGGGGACUCAGUGGAGACCGCCGGGGUCAACUCGGAGGAAGGUGGGGAUGACGUCGAGUCAUCAUGCCCCUUAUGUCCAGGGCUUCACGCAUGCUACAAUGGCUGGUACAGAGAGUGGCGAGCCUGUGAGGGUGAGCGAAUCUCGGAAAGCCGGUCUCAGUUCGGAUUGGGGUCUGCAACUCGACCUCAUGAAGUCGGAGUCGCUAGUAAUCGCAGAUCAGCAACGCUGCGGUGAAUAAGUUCCCGGGGCU